AGCGUCCCACAUUUAUGGAAUUGGAGCUGUAAUAAUAAUGAAGAAGAAAGGUCAAUAUAAGGAUCUCCAAGCAUGGAAAGAAGAAGAAACCCCUAUGACGUGUGUGUGGCAAUCAGAUCUAAAGGAACAUGAGGGGUUAGGGGUUGGCUGUGGAUAAAAAUAGAACCAGCGUGGCUUUGGUUCAAAUCGAUGCCAAUCAGCAGUGUAAUCUGUGGCCGUUGACCACAUCUGUUGCCUGGCACCCGUGUUCUGUAAGGGUUUAUACACUAUUCAUUAGCGCUCUCUAUCCAUCACUCUGGCUCCUGUUUCUCUGAGGAAAGUGGGUGAAACAUUCAAGGGUAGCGACGUAGACAUUCACCCCUCGCACAUGAACUCUGGAAGAAAUCAAGACAGUAGUUCUAAUUUGGUGUGUGUGGAAUUGAUUAGUUUCACAUAGCAGUCAUGGAUCUGGGAAAAUCAUCAUGGCACUUGACCUCGAGGGAAGAGACAACUUCUACCUGAUUGGUAUUUUUCAGAGCAGUCUGGGUAAAGGGUUUGUCAAGAGGGAUUUCACAGAGAUCUAGCCAAGAAAGGAAAAAAAAAUAAAGACCAUUAAAAUGGUCACUAGAUGUUGGACUCCAAAUACAUUCUGUAACUCUUUCAUGCAUGACAUCCAUGAAUACCUUAACUUCAAAAAAUAAAAACUGAAAAUAUA